CUUGUGACAUCUCUAGCUCAGACACAGGGUCAUGGAGGAGCCAAGAUCUAACCAGGAGAAAAGAACAAAGAACCUCAUCUAAAAAAAAAGAAAAUGUCCAUUUCAUCAUUUUUUCCAGGCUAACCUCUAGGACUCUCAUUGCUAUAAUCUCCAACAUGGAAAACCUGUAUGGUUGUAACACUUAAAAUAAUCUCUGUUUUUGGACCAAGUAUCAUCAAUUUACUAAAAGAACUUGUCCUCUUUGCACUUGUACAGUGUGAUAUUUAUGCGAGCUUCCAUUCAUGAAGCAUCACUGGGGAAGUAAUAGGCAUCAUCAAUCCCAUCUCACAGGAAAGGAAAUGGAGUCACUGGAGUUUAGGAAUUUGUUCAAGCUCCAUGACUAAUUGAGGUUACAGUGGCUAAGAUCUCAGCUCUCCAGCAGGCUCUUCUAGCCCAAACGGUUCUGACCCACCAGCAGCCAAAGGAAGAUGGAAUCUUUAUUAUUUACCCUUCAUCACUUUCUAAAGACUUGAGAGAAAUGUUUCUGCCAAAAGGCCACCCUUAGCGCAACUUCCAACUUCAAAACAACAGAUCUCCUUUCAAGACCAAGUGUGAUCUUCUUCCCCUUUAUUUCCACAUAAGAAUCCCCGCAGCUUUUACAAAUCAUCAACAUUUUACAUUCGGUUCUAUUUCAAAGAUCCUUCAGAAAUGCUGACUGGGAAUGGCCAAGCUGACUUUAGCAAAUAAAAAGAGUUCUCAUUUAAUCAUUUCAGGCCUGUAUCGAUGGGAACCCCAGGAGACUGGGGCUGACAAAGUUCUGUUCUUCCAGAAAGAAUUUGCAUUUGUGCUGCUGCCAUCUGCCAGGGUGCUUUCAACAUUGGGCUGAACUAAUUUCCUGGUAAUUAAUCUCCAUGCUUU